CUGGGGUGCUCGAGUGGCGAACGGGUGAGUAACACGUGGGUGAUCUGCCCUGCACUUCGGGAUAAGCUUGGGAAACUGGGUCUAAUACCGGAUAGGACCAUCGUUUAGUGUCGGUGGUGGAAAGUUUUUUCGGUGCGGGAUGAGCUCGCGGCCUAUCAGCUUGUUGGUGGGGUAAUGGCCUACCAAGGCGUCGACGGGUAGCCGGCCUGAGAGGGUGUACGGCCACAUUGGGACUGAGAUACGGCCCAG
rnacentral:rRNA from 1 species